rnacentral:rRNA from 1 species
UACGUAGGGUGCAAGCGUUGUCCGGAAUUAUUGGGCGUAAAGAGCUCGUAGGCGGUUUGUUGCGUCGGCUGUGAAAUCCCGAGGCUCAACCUCGGGCCUGCAGUGGGUACGGGCAGGACUAGAGUGCGGUAGGGGAGAUUGGAAUUCCGUGGUGUAGCGGUGGAAUGCGCAGAGUAUCAGGAGGAACACCAAUGGCGAAGGCAGAUCUCUGGGCCGUAACUGACGCUGAGGAGCGAAAGCAUGGGGAGCGAACAGG